rnacentral:rRNA from 1 species
UAAUUUUAAAUAGCUGCAGUAUUUUGACUGUACAAAGGUAGCAUAAUAAUUAGUCUUUUAAUUGAAGUCUGGAAUGAAUGAUAAAAUGAAAAAUUUACUUUAUUUUUUUUAUUGUUAAAAUUUAAUUUUUAAGUGAAAAAGCUUAAUUAAUUUUUUGGGACGAGAAGACCCUAUAGAACUUUAUUUAUUAAGUUAAUAUUAAUUUAUUUAGGUUAAAUUUUUAUAUAUUAAUUUUUUGAAAUUAAUUGGGGUGAUUAUUAAAUUUAACUUUAAUUUAGAUUUUCAUUAAUUUAUGAUUUAUUGUUCCUUUAUUUAAAGAUUAAAAGAUUAAGUUACCUUAGGGAUAACAGCGUUAUUUUAAUGGUAAGUUCUUAUUUAUAUUAAAGUUUGCGACCUCGAUGUUGAAUUAAGAUAAUUCCAAGGGGUAGUUUUUUUGGCUUUAAGUCUGUUCGACUUUUAAUUUCUUACAUGAUUUGAGUUCAGACCGGUGUGAGCCAGGUCGGUUUCUAUCUGAAAAUACAUAAAUUAUUUUAGUACGAAAGGACCGUUUAAUUCAAUUUUUUAUUGUUUAUUUUAAAUAUUAGUUUGGCAGAAUUAUGCAU